GACGAACGCUGGCGGCGUGCUUAACACAUGCAAGUCGAACGGAAAGGCCCUGCUUUUGUGGGUUGCUCGAGUGGCGAACGGGUGAGUAACACGUGAGUAACCUGCCCUUGACUUUGGGAUAACUUCAGGAAACUGGGGCUAAUACCGGAUAGGAGCUCCUGCUGCAUGGUGGGGGUUGGAAAGUGUCGGCGGUUGGGGAUGGACUCGCGGCUUAUCAGCUUGUUGGUGGGGUAGUGGCUUACCAAGGCUUUGACGGGUAGCCGGCCUGAGAGGGUGACCGGCCACAUUGGGACUGAGAUACGGACCAGAAUCCUACGGGAGGCAGCAGUGGGGAAUAUUGCACAAUGGGCGGAAGCCUGAUGCAGCAACGCCGCGUGCGGGAUGACGGCCUUCGGGUUGUAAACCGCUUUCGCCUGUGACGAAGCGUGAGUGACGGUAAUGGGUAAAGAAGCACCGGCUAACUACGUG
rnacentral:rRNA from 1 species